CAGAAGCGUAAUUGCAGCGCUGUAUCGGGUGAGGAUUCGGUUCCUAAGACAGGCCCCAAAAGCGCAAGAGAAUCCCUGGGUUCUCCACUAGGUGGGAGGACGGGGCGCCGAAGUGACUUUUGUCUAUUUGGAAAUGGACUGAAUUAUUGCGGGGUUUCCAGAAAGCCGGCUCAAAAGGAGGCUGGGAGCUUUCAGCGGCUUGCAACGGAAAAACUAGUUGUCGGUCCCUAGUGAAGGGGGGCUCCCUAUCGCCUGCUUGGGCGGGUCGGAGGAAAGCUGGAGGUGAACACAUGUGCCCUCCUCUGUAACCAAAUGACAUUUGGAUCCGGCAAGUGCAAUAAGAAGCCCACGUCCUCUCUUCUGGACUGGGCAAGAACAUGUGCGGGAAAAAAAAAAGAUUCUGGCAGAGGAGAGAUCAAGAGGGCAGCUUAGGCAGCCGACACACCCUGUUGAUGGUCCCAUCAGAAGACUUCAUGGGCCGCUGGGAAAGCAAAACGCAGCUCACGUACUAUGGUCGAUCCAAGGAUGACUACACAUUUCUAGAACACCUGCCGUGUGCCAGUGCUUCCCAAGAGCCUUUGGAAUUAAAAUCCUGGAGCCAUUCCCAGGUUACUUGCUUUGUCUUCCGUGGUUGCUGUUGGAUAUGUGCGCUGUCAGCUUUCUGUUCCUGCCGCCAUGCUGCCCGGUGUUUCCUUGCUUGGGCUCUCAUCCUUCUGGAACCAUAAGUCAAAUAAACUCUUCCUUCCAUAAA